CCUGGGAUAACACUGACGCUCAUGUACGAAAGCGUGGGUAGCAAACAGGAUUAGAUACCCUGGUAGUCCACGCCCUAAACGAUGUCAACUGGUUGUUGGGGGAGUGAAAUCCCUUAGUAACGAAGCUAACGCGCGAAGUUGACCGCCUGGGGAGUACGGUCGCAAGAUUAAAACUCAAAGGAAUUGACGGGGACCCGCACAAGCGGUGGAUGAUGUGGAUUAAUUCGAUGCAGCGCGAAAAACCUUACCUACCCUUGACAUGUCCGGAAUCCUGAAGAGAUUUGGGAGUGCUCGAAAGAGAACCGGAACACAGGUGCUGCAUGGCUGUCGUCAGCUCGUGUCGUGAGAUGUUGGGUUAAGUCCCGCAACGAGCGCAACCCUUAUCAUUAGUUGCUACGCAAGGGCACUCUAAUGAGACUGCCGGUGACAAACCGGAGGAAGGUGGGGAUGACGUCAAGUCCUCAUGGCCCUUAUGGGUAGGGCUUCACACACGCUACAAUGGGCAGCACAAUGGGUAGCAAAGCCGCGAGGUAGAGCCAAUCCCGAAAGCUGGUCUCAGUUCAGAUUGCAGGCUGCAACCCGCCUGCAUGAAGUCGGAGU
rnacentral:rRNA from 1 species